rnacentral:rRNA from 1 species
GGAUUGCUCUAGUAACGGCGAGUGAAGCAGCAAUAGCUCAAAUUUGAAAUCUGGCGUCUUCGGCGUCCGAGUUGUAAUUUGUAGAGGAUGCUUCUGGGCAGCCACCGACCUAAGUUCCUUGGAACAGGACGUCAUAGAGGGUGAGAAUCCCGUAUGCGGUCGGAAAGGCACCCUACACGUAGCUCCUUCGACGAGUCGAGUUGUUUGGGAAUGCAGCUCUAAAUGGGAGGUAAAUUUCUUCUAAAGCUAAAUAUUGGCCAGAGACCGAUAGCGCACAAGUAGAGUGAUCGAAAGAUGAAAAGCACUUUGGAAAGAGAGUUAAAAAGCACGUGAAAUUGUUGAAAGGGAAGGGAUUGCAACCAGACUUGCUCGCGGUGUUCCGCCGGUCUUCUGACCGGUCUAUUCGCCGCGUUGCAGGCCAGCAUCGUCUGGUGCCGCUGGAUAAGACUUGAGGAAUGUAGCUCCCUCGGGAGUGUUAUAGCCUCUUGUGAUGCAGCGAGCGCCGGGCGAGGUCCGCGCUUCGGCUAGGAUGCUGGCGUAAUGGUUGUAAUCCGCCCGUCUUGAAACACGGACCAAGGAGUCUAACAUCUAUGCGAGUGUUCGGGUGUCAAACCCCUACGCGUAAUGAAAGUGAACGGAGGUGAGAACCGCACGGUGCAUCAUCGACCGAUCCUGAUGUCUUCGGAUGGGAUUUGAGUAUGAGCAUAGCUGUU